AUUUCUUCGCUUCUAUGCUUGAAAUAACACACAUUAGGUACAGCUGUCACUGUCCACCAUGUAAGAGGUGCUUUUCACCUUCUGCCAUGAUUGUGAGGCCUCCCUAGCCACAUGGAACUGAGAAAACAUAGAAAUGUAAAUGCACUUUCUACAUGUGAACUGUGCUAAGGACCUUUGAAGCUGUGCUCCUUCUUCCCAAUAUGACAUCUGGGUUAAGGAGAAGCUUACUUUAUAUGGCAAAUUGACUAGUACAUAGUAGACCUCAAUGAAUAAUAAUUUGUUGAAAGUUUUCCUCUUCCAAGGCUCAGUUUCUUCAUCUGUGAAUUAAGGAUGUUGCUCAAGAAGGGACAGGAGUGAAGUGUCCAGGCUCAUCAACAGUCUGUGUGCAAAGUUACAGAAAAUUUCUUCUCACAGCCUUUGAGAGAGAAAAUUCUAUGGCCUUCAGACUUGGAUUAGAACUACACCACCGGCUCUCCAGGAUCUGCAGCUUGUAGAUGGCAGAUUGUGGACAUUCUCAGCCUUCAUAAUCAUGGCUCGUCCCAAGUGGAUCUUUCAGAAAGCCCUUC
ensembl:lncRNA novel transcript